CCCCAUGCUACAGGCAAGGGAACCAAGGCUCAAAGAGCUGUUCCUUAGCCUAGGUCAGUCAAUGAGUUUCCUCGAACUUCCAGAAGAGACUCAGGAAAGCAUGAAUUCUGGCAAGAAGUCACUCAAGCAAUACUGAAUUACCAUCAAACAAUGAGAUAUCAGGGCCAUGGUAAUGUUCUAUUGGAAUGCCUCUACUCCAGGAAAACAAGUAAACAAACAAAUAGGAAAACAGAAGCGCAGUAACUUGGCAAGAAAGUUUGUCCUUACUGAGAUCUUCAAGGAACAGAAAGUUUUUCCACAAGGAAAUGUAAGAGUCUAAAGAUGCUUCCCAUUGAAGAAUGUCUAACAGAGGACAUAAAAGAAACCUGCAGAGAACCAAAGUCAUACAGGAAAGGAGGCUAUAGACUAGAUACAAGUUCAAGGUGAUGGAAGCGUCGGAGAAGGACAUAUCAACAUCGAUUUACCUUAUUCAUGACAAAACUACUCAAUUUUCCAAAGAGUUUUUCAAUUGACUGAUUUGGAAGCUUUUUAUUCUCAAGCAAGAUAUCCUCAGCUGGAGCAACACAAUAAAAAUAAUUG